rnacentral:rRNA from 1 species
CCCUUAGAUGUUCUGGGCCGCACGCGCGCUACACUGAUGCAUUCAACGAGUCUAAAACCUGCUCUGAUAGGGGUGGGUAAUCUUUUGAAUGUGCAUCGUGAUUGGGAUAGAUGAUUGCAAUUUUUCAUCUUCAACGAGGAAUGCCUAGUAAACGCAAGUCAUCAGCUUGCAUUGAUUACGUCCCUGCCCUUUGUACACACCGCCCGUCGCUCCUACCGAUUGAAUGAUCCGAUGAAUAUCAUGGAUUGAGGAUGCAAGCAGGUUCGCCUGUCUUCAUCUUCGAGAAGAGAAGUAAAUCUUAUCAUUUAGAGGAAGGAGAAGUCGUAACA